GAAACAACAUAGAAGGCUUUACCUUUUUUUUAUCAAACACAAAACAUGAAUAAAAACCGGUAAGUUCCAUCUUCUCAAAUAUCAAACACGCCGAAAAGAGUCUGAUCUCUCUCUCGUUUAAGGUCGAUCCUUUGGAACCUCUCUUCCCGUUCGCCAUUUGAGCAUAAAAAAAUGGCAACGUAUUAUGCUUCAUAUGAGUGUAGCAAGUUUUAUCACUGUCUGAGUGAUGAACAAACGGUGAUGGAUAGUGAGUGGGGCUCAUAAACUUUGACAUGAUGAUCACCAUCCAUCCAAAUAUUGGACGUCAAAAGAAUGUUAUCAUGUACAUUUUCUAUGGUCAAGACAUACAUUUUUGUAAUGUGUCAUAAACCAUGUGAACGGGGCAAAAAUCACCACGUUUUCAGUCGUUAAGGGCCAGUUUGGACGUACUCAAAAUUAAAAUGUUUUUUAAUUAUAAUUUAAAAAUAUUGUAAAAAGGAUUUUAACCAUUUGAACGACCGGUGAUUUUACCAAAUUUUUAGAUUAAACAAGAUUUUACCAAAUUUUUAGAUUAAAUAAAAAAAAACUAUCCGAAUAAAAAAUUACCAUCCAAAUAAAUUUUAAAUCAAAGAUGAAAGUGCAGCCUUUUCCCUCGUCUCAUUGGACGCCUCUUUUGGUCUCUCACGACUCACACUCUCUCAACCCUAUCUGCUCUCUAACUCCCUAUCGUCUCUCUGCUCUCGCCUCCAUGCUCUCAAUGAUGCACAGUCCUGCUGUAAAUGGGUUAGAGAGAGAUUGAGGGCUGCAAAGCACUGCUAUGGAUGGGUUUAGUGAGAGACAGGGCCUAAGCUUCUAAGUUGGGGGGAGAGAAAGGGCUGCAAAAGCCCGGCUGAAAAUGGGGUUAGAGAGAGAGGGCCCCAAACUUCUAAGAUGAGAGGAGAGAUAGAGGACUGUAAACCCCUGCUUUAAAUGAGUGAAGCCCUGCUAUAAAUGGGGUUAGAGAGAGAGCCCCAAGCUUCCAUAAUGAGAGAGAGAUAGAGGUGGAGGGCUGCAACGCCCUGUUAUGAAUGGGGUUAGAGAAAG
rnacentral:lncRNA from 1 species